CCUUAUUGUUAGUUGCCAUCAUUCAGUUGGGCACUCUAGCAAGACUUCCGGUGACAAACCGGAGGAAGGUGGGGAUGACGUCAAAUCAUCAUGCCCCUUAUGACCUGGGCUACACACGUGCUACAAUGGGAAGUACAACGAGUUGCGAAGUCGCGAGGGUAAGCUAAUCUUUUAAAGCUUCUCUCAGUUCGGAUUGCAGGCUGCAACUCGCCUGCAUGAAGCCGGAAUCGCUAGUAAUCGCGGAUCAGCACGCCGCGGUGAAUACGUUCCCGGGCCUUGUACACACCGCCC
rnacentral:rRNA from 1 species